rnacentral:lncRNA from 1 species
GCAAGCUUCUGGCUUUAGUGCGGCGGCAGCGGCUCCCAAUCCGUCCUCUGUCAUUUCUUGUGCGUGGAUUGUGGACUGACGGGACCCAAACCAGGACAAUGGGCCCGCGAACGCUGAGCUCCGAGUGCCGCCAGCGGACGCUGUGGCGACAGGCCUGAGGACCGGGCCGACUGGGCAGGGGAGGAGCCAGGUUGGGGUGAAAGACCUGUGACCGAGGCCAAUGGAUGGGCCGAAUGAGUCCAGGUGUCUGGCGGCUGUGGCAGAAUGGCUGAUUGGGGCUUGUCAAGCAGCAUGUUGGUGUUCCUGUGCUGUGUAUUCAUGUAAUGGGUACAUAACUGACUAUGAAGAAGGAGCAGUUGAAUGGGUCCUGAGACAGAAGUAGAACUUCAGUGCCAGCGAGAUGGCUCAGGGAGUUACGGCACUUGCCACCAAGCCAGGAUCCACAUGGUGGAAGGACAGAACUGAAUCCCAAAAGUUGACCUCUGACUUCCACAGUGUACCAUCCCUCCCCUCACUACCUCACAAGUAAAUGUCAUUUCAAAAGAAACUGAUCCUGAUACAAAGGCCAGUGCCCAAGGGGCUGCCACGAUUGCACUUUUCUCUUAGAGUGUCUUAGUCAGGGUUUCUAUUGCUGCGAUGAAACACCGUGACCAAAAAGCAAGUUGGGGAGGAAAGGACUUAUUUGGCUUACAUGUCCACAUUGCUAUUCAUCACCAAAGGAAGUCAGGACAGAAACUCAAACAGGGCAGAAUCCUUGAGGCAGGAGCUGAUGCAGAGGCCAUGGAGGGGUGCUGCUUACUGACUUACUCAUCAUGGCUUGCUCAGCCUACUUUCCUAUAGAACCCAGGACCAUCAGCCCAGGGAUGGCUCCACCCACAAUGGGCUGGACCCUUCCACAUUGAUCACUAAUUGAUAAAAUGCACUAAUUGAUAAAAUGCCUCAUAUGGAGGCAUUUCCUCAACUGGGGCUCCUUCCUCUCUGAUGACUCUACUUUGUGUCAAGUUGACACACAAAACCAGCUAGUACAUAGAGGCUCAGUUCUGAAGUUCUACUUAAUCAUUUUCUUGAUGGUUUCACUGUGGAUCUAUAUUUCCAGAGUUCACCAUGAAUCUGUGUUUACAGAGACUAUGAUUCUGGUUUUGUUUAAUGUUUUGGUCCUUUUAAAAGGCAUGAGGUUGUUUGAUGUUGUUUGUUUGUUUGUUUGUUUGAACUCAUUGUGUAGCCCUAGCUAGCCUUGAACUCAUGAUGAUCCUCCUGUCUCAGCCUCCCAAGUACUGGGAUUACAUCAUUUCCAACCAUAGUGUAUUUUUGGAAUCAUUAGUGACUUGUGUGGCUGAGGUUCGUUCCUUUCCUAUUGCAUCCAUUACAUCCAUUCUGUACGCCAUUAGAACUACAUCUGGCUUCCUGUUCCUGCCCUGAGCAUUCUUGAGCAUAGAGCAGUACUCCCUCUAGGACAGGAGUCUCUGAAGGUGUGAUAAGGGAGAGACGCUCAGGGUCUGCGCAGCUGUCGUUUGGGGUGCUACUGCCAUCUAGUGUCAAGUGCAGGAUAUCCUGGGCAUCCUGACAACUUCGUGGCUCCCACAACUGUGAGACCCGCCCCAAAUACACACAAAGAAUUGUUUAGUUCCUAUGUCAGGUAGGGAAACCCUGCCUUAAAUAUGUGGAAUGGCUUUU